UAUAUGUCCAUCCAGCGGCUCAUUAGACCAAAUCUAAGUGGAAGCAAUGGGCUAAAAACUAAAAAUAGAAAGGAGAAGGUUUAUCAACCCUUAUCUUCACCACCAAUGAGCUCUCAUACCCAUAAUCAUGGUGAAAUCCUCCAACAAAAAGAAUAAAAAUCCGACUAAAUCAAAAGAUCCCAAGCUCAAAUUCUAAAGGAAAGGUU
rnacentral:lncRNA from 1 species